AUGAACAACAAUACUUGUUCACAAUCUUCAACCAAACAAACCCCAAUCAACAACAAACCCUCUUUCAUGCCAGCAAAAGAUGACACCAAACCCGUGCUUCAAGACCCAAUAUUGAGGUCUGAUCCAAUUGAAACAGAGGAAGCUGUGCUGCUAUUGCCUCCAUUCUCAAUCCCCAAAUCAAAUCAAAUUCCUCAUCUCAAAUGA